rnacentral:misc_RNA from 1 species
GAUGAAGAACGCGGCGAAAUGCGAUAAGUAGUGUGAAUUGCAGAAUUCAGCGAAUCAUCGAAUCUUUGAACGCACAUUGCGCCCUUCGGUUAUUCCUUAGGGCAUGCCUGUUCGAGCGUCAUUUCAACCUUCAAGCCUGGCUUGGUGUUGGGCGCUGUCCCGCCUCCGCGCGCGGACUCGCCCCAAAUGAAUUGGCAGUCGCACCCUCCGAGCCGCGAGCGCAGCACAAGUCGCGCGGGCGGAACUCUGGGGGGACGGACGCUCCACAAGACCCUUUCUCAGUCUUGACCUCGGAUCAGGUAGGGAUACCCGCUGAACUUAAGCAUAUCAAUAAGCGGAGGA